rnacentral:rRNA from 1 species
UAAGGAAUAUUGGGCAAUGGGGGAGACCCUGACCCAGCCAUCCCGCGUGUGGGACGACGGCGCUCAGCGUUGUAAACCACUUUUGGGCAGGAAGAACGGCCUCUACGUGUAGGGGUGUGACGGUACUGCCAGAAUAAGCACCGGCUAACUCCGUGCCAGCAGCCGCGGUAAUACGGGGGGUGCGAGCGUUAUCCGGAAUUACUGGGUUUAAAGGGUGCGUAGGCGGCGCUCUAAGUCCGAGGUGAAAGGCCGGGGCCCAACCCCGGGACGGCCUCGGAUACUGGGGCGCUCGAGUCGGGAUGAGGUCGGCGGAAUGCGGCAUGUAGCGGUGAAAUGCUUAGAGAUGCCGUAGAACACCGAUUGCGAAGGCAGCUGACUGGCCCUUCGACUGACGCUGAGGCACGAAAGCGUGGGGAGCGAACGGGAUUAGAUACCCCCGUAGUCC